AGAGUUUGAUCCUGGCUCAGGAUGAACGCUGGCGGCGCGCCUAACACAUGCAAGUCGAACGGUUAAAGCACCUUUUAGGUGUGUAUAAAGUGGCGAACGGCUGAGUAACACGUGGGCAACCUGCCCUCCUCUUGGGGAUAGCCUCGGGAAACCGAGGAUAAUACCCGAUACUUCAAUGUGGCCGCAUGACGACAUUGAGAAAGCUUUUGCGGAGAAGGAUGGGCCCGCGGCCUGUUAGCUUGUUGGUGGGGUAGAGGCCUACCAAGGCAAUGAUGGGUAGCUGGGUUGAGAGACCGACCAGCCAGAUUGGGACUGAGACACGGCCCAGACUCCUACGGGAGGCAGCAGUGGGGAAUCUUGCACAAUGGGCGAAAGCCUGAUGCAGCGACGCCGCGUGCGGGACGAAGGCCUUCGGGUUGUAAACCGCUUUCAGCAGGGACGAGGCGAAAGUGACGGUACCUGCAGAAGAAGCCCCGGCUAACUACGUG
rnacentral:rRNA from 1 species